UACGUAGGGGGCAAGCGUUGUCCGGAAUCAUUGGGCGUAAAGAGCGUGUAGGCGGCCCGGUAAGUCCGCUGUGAAAGUCCAGGGCUCAACCCUGGGAUGCCGGUGGAUACUGUCGGGCUCGAGUCCGGAAGAGGCGAGUGGAAUUCCUGGUGUAGCGGUGAAAUGCGCAGAUAUCAGGAGGAACACCAAUGGCGAAGGCAGCUCGCUGGGACGUGACUGACGCUCAGGCGCGAAAGCUAGGGGAGCGAACAGG
rnacentral:rRNA from 1 species